UCCACUCAUAACCAUAAGAUAAUUAAAACGGGGGGGGGCAGGGUUAAAAAAAACUUUUAUCAGCCAUAGGUUAAUGCAAGUGCUUAACAGAUGCUUCGCUAUUAAAAUAUUUUCCCCCCAAUACUGAAGAAUCUUAAACCAGCAACCCUAACAGAGACCUGUGAAGGUUUUCAAAGUGGGGCACCUCGAUUUCUCGAAUCCCGUGGUGUGGCGAAUAUCCGUGUUCCUCCGGCUUAACUAGCCUGCUUGGCAGGUCUGAUCCUAUUUAUUCUAAAGACAGAGUUGGAGAUGGGCUAUCAUUGGUGUUGAUUGAGAUGCCAAGCAGUCACCUGACUCUAUACAGUUGUGCUUGCUGCCAAGCCUGAUGACCUAAGUUGAAUCCUGGAACCUACAUGAUACAAAGAGAGAACUGACUCUUGAAAGACAUCCUCAGAUCUUCACAUAUGCACAGCGGCACCUAUCCAACCGUGCACAUAGUCUAUUAAAAACAUUUUUUAAAAAUCCA